rnacentral:rRNA from 1 species
GGCGGCCUAUACAUGCAAGUCGAACGGUUGGUAGCAAUACCAAUAGUGGCGCACGGGUGCGUAACGCGUAACCAACCUACCCGAAUCUGGGGGAUAGCCCGCCGAAAGGCGGAUUAAUACCGCAUAAAACUGCAGCACGGCAUCGUGUAACAGUUAAAGAUUUAUUGGAUUCGGAUGGGGUUGCGUGCCAUUAGCUAGUUGGCGGGGUAACGGCCCACCAAGGCGACGAUGGCUAGGGGAGCUGAGAGGCUGGUCCCCCACACGGGCACUGAGAUACGGGCCCGACUCCUACGGGAGGCAGCAGUAGGGAAUAUUGGGCAAUGGACGCGAGUCUGACCCAGCCAUGCCGCGUGCAGGAUGAAGGCUUUCUGAGUCGUAAACUGCUUUUACCAGGGAAAAAAAAAGGGGAUGCGUCCUCUACUGACGGUACCUGGUGAAUAAGCACCGGCUAACUCCGUGCCAGCAGCCGCGGUAAUACGGAGGGUGCAAGCGUUGUCCGGAUUUAUUGGGUUUAAAGGGUGCGUAGGCGGCUGAUUAAGUCUGGGGUGAAAGCCCGUUGCUCAACAACGGAACUGCCCUGGAAACUGGUUAGCUUGAGUACAGACGAGGGUGGCGGAAUGGAUACUGUAGCGGUGAAAUGCAUAGAUAGUAUCCAGAACC